rnacentral:snRNA from 1 species
CUGCUUCAGCAGCACGUAUGCUAAAAUUGGAACAAUACAGAGAAGAUUAGCAUGGCCACUGCGUAAGGACGACAUGCAAAUUCGUGAAGCAUUCUAUAUAAAA